CGGCGGGCUGAACCACCUCUCCGGCGGGCUGAACCACCUCUCUGGGGUUAACAACACCCUUUUCGACGUCAGUAUCUUCUCCACCAACAUCUUGUGAACCGGUGUCAAAAUCGUCUUCGACGCCAACGUCUGCUACGGGGUCGUCGCCGACGGGGGCUUUGCGCCGAGACUUGCCCGGCGGGAAUACAACCUUGAAUUCAUAUGUUGAGGAGUCAAUUUCCAUUUGACACCCCG
rnacentral:lncRNA from 1 species